CCCGACUUCGGAAGGGAUGUGUUUAUUAGAUAAAAAACCAAUGCCCUUCGGGGCUUUUUGGUGAUUCAUGAUAACUUUACGGAUCGCAUAGCCUUGCGCUGGCGACGGUUCAUUCAAAUUUCUGCCCUAUCAACUUUCGAUGGUAAGGUAUUGGCUUACCAUGGUUUCAACGGGUAACGGGGAAUUAGGGUUCGAUUCCGGAGAGGGAGCCUGAGAAACGGCUACCACAUCCAAGGAAGGCAGCAGGCGCGCAAAUUACCCAAUCCCGACACGGGGAGGUAGUGACAAUAAAUACUGAUACAGGGCUCUUUUGGGUCUUGUAAUUGGAAUGAGUACAAUUUAAACCUCUUAACGAGGAACAAUUGGAGGGCAAGUCUGGUGCCAGCAGCCGCGGUAAUUCCAGCUCCAAUAGCGUAUAUUAAAGUUGUUGCAGUUAAAAAGCUCGUAGUUGAAACUUGGGUCUGGCUGGCGGGUCCGCCUCACCGCGUGCACUCGUCCGGCCGGGCCUUCCUUCUGAAGAACCUCAUGCCCUUUACUGGGCGUGUUGGGGAAUCAGGACUUUUACUUUGAAAAAAUUAGAGUGUUCAAAGCAGGCCUUUGCUCGAAUACGUUAGCAUGGAAUAAUAAAAUAGGGCGUGCGUUUCUAUUUUGUUGGUUUCUAGAGACGCCGCAAUGAUUAACAGGAACAGUCGGGGGCAUCAGUAUUCAGUUGUCAGAGGUGAAAUUCUUGGAUUUACUGAAGACUAACUACUGCGAAAGCAUUUGCCAAGGAUGUUUUCAUUAAUCAGUGAACGAAAGUUAGGGGAUCGAAGACGAUCAGAUACCGUCGUAGUCUUAACCGUAAACUAUGCCGACUAGGGAUCGGGCGAUGUUCUUUUUCUGACUCGCUCGGCACCUUACGAGAAAUCAAAGUU
rnacentral:rRNA from 1 species